UGGGGGAUAUUGCACAAUGGGCGAAAGCCUGAUGCAGCGACGCCGCGUGGGGGAUGAAGGCUUUCGGUUUGUAAACCUCUUUCGCUAUCGAACAAGGCCCGCUUAGGGUGGGUUGAGGGUAGGUGGAGAAGAAGCGCCGGCUAACUACGUGCCAGCAGCCGCGGUAAUACGUAGGGCGCGAGCGUUGUCCGGAAUUAUUGGGCGUAAAGGGCUUGUAGGCGGCUUGUUGCGCCUGCUGUGAAAACGCGGGGCUUAACUUCGCGCGUGCAGUGGGUACGGGCAGGCUUGAGUGUGGUAGGGGUGACUGGAAUUCCAGGUGUAGCGGUGGAAUGCGCAGAUAUCUGGAGGAACACCGAUGGCGAAGGCAGGUCACUGGGCCAUUACUGACGCUGAGGAGCGAAAGCAUGGGUAGCGAACAGG
rnacentral:rRNA from 1 species